rnacentral:rRNA from 1 species
GGUUGCCGCAAGGCCUCCUGGGUAACCUACCACCCUUUGUUUAUUACACUUUGUUGCUUUGGCAAGCCUGCCCUCGGGCUGCUGGCUCCGGCCGGCGAGCGCUUGCCAGAGGACCUAAACUCUGUUUGUCUAUACUGUCUGAGUACUAUAUAAUAGUUAAAACUUUCAACAACGGAUCUCUUGGUUCUGGCAUCGAUGAAGAACGCAGCGAAAUGCGAUAAGUAAUGUGAAUUGCAGAAUUCAGUGAAUCAUCGAAUCUUUGAACGCACAUUGCGCCCCCUGGUAUUCCGGGGGGCAUGCCUGUCCGAGCGUCAUUACAACCCUCAAGCUCAGCUUGGUAUUGGGCCCCGCCGACCCGGCGGGCCCUAAAGUCAGUGGCGGUGCCGUCCGGCUCCGAGCGUAGUAAUUCUUCUCGCUCUGGAGGUCCGGUCGUGUGCUCGCCAGCAACCCCCAAUUUUUUUCAGGUUGACCUCGGAUCAGGUAGGGAUACCCGCUGAACUUAAGCAUAUCAAUAAGGCGGAGGAA